UACAGAGGGUGCGAGCGUUGUCCGGAAUCACUGGGCGUAAAGGGCGCGUAGGUGGCGAUCCAAGUCCAUGGUGAAAGCUCGAUGCUCAACAUCGAGUCGGCCACGGAUACUGGGUUGCUUGAGCACUGUAGGGGCAGAUGGAAUUCCGGGUGUAGCGGUGGAAUGCGUAGAGAUCCGGAAGAACACCGGUGGCGAAGGCGGUCUGCUGGGCAGUUGCUGACACUGAGGCGCGACAGCGUGGGGAGCGAACGAGG
rnacentral:rRNA from 1 species